AUCUUCAGAGAUUGAAUGAAUUGGUGUCAAUUGGGUAAGUGGAACCAGAAUAAUGUAUUUAUUUUUCCAAUCACUGAUUAUUAUUUUUUUCUUUUUCCUUCCUUUUUUCUGAAGUCAAUUCUUGUUGUUAACUUUUGUCAUCAGUAUUAUUUUCUCACUAGAUGUCACCAUUUAGUCUUAGGUCUUCAAAAGUGAAAAUAAAUAUUAAAAUAUAGAAGACAGAAGGGUGAAAUUAAUGUAAUUACAUAUGGCUCUGACUCUUGGAAUUUUUUUCCCCCCUGAAAUUUUAAAUAAAAAGUGAACCAAUGUUGUCAUCUGCCUUGAAUCCAAUGCCUUAAUGCAGUUCAACUUUCGUCCCACUUUUCCUGGGGCACAGUCCUACAUUUCUGAUACAUUGAUCGAUAAUGUUUUGGCUGUGUUUGAUAUCUGGAUUAGGUUCACUAUGAUUAUGAAUUCGGUGGGAUUGAGUGAUGGGAUUACUAAUAUGGUGGUAUUAGGUUGGAAAUGUGAGAUUAAUUGCAUUUGUUUGUUUACUAUGGGAAAUAGUUACAUGCUCGUGUUUGUUUUGCUUUAAUUGGUUGAGAUUAAAUCUAUGAAAUUAUUUAAAAGCUCUCAUUACAUAAAAGUCAGCUUUGUGCAUUGAAAAAAUAAUAGUCAGCUUUGUUGUUUUUGUAAAUUGGGGGCAAAAUAGUCAGCUUUUGUUCAUAUUAGCAUAUCAAUAAAGCUAGUCUUCUCUUUUAUAACAUACCCAUGCUCAUCUAGAAGGAUAAGUGAUUUAUCUAAUGGAAGUUCUUCAUUGGCGUUUCUUAAGGAUAUGAAGUCUUUGAAUCUCUUAAUUCUGAGGAAUAACAAUAUUUCUGGAUCUAUCCCAUCCAAUAUUGGAGAUUAUCACUAAUGACAUGGCUUGUAAAAUCGAGCACUGACAUGCACUAGUAUGUCAAAAUCUGACUCUAGUAGAUAGUUGAGCAGUAAUAGAAAAAAUCUAGUGAGAUGUUAGUGCUGGUUAGUAAACUGUUAGCUAGCAUUUCAAUUGAAUACGAAUCCCUAUUCUGCAGUGUAAUGAUGUGUAAUAUGCUUGACUAUUCCAUUGCAUCUACAUGUGCAAGCAAAUGACUUAACCUAUUUUUUCUUUUUAUUUUUUGAUUGUGUUUGUUGUUUGAUUUUGGUUCAGACACAAUCAUGUAAUGUUUAUUUAGUCAAUAUAUUGAAGUAGCUGUAAAAUUUUAUUCA